rnacentral:tRNA from 1 species
GCUGCUGUGGCUCAGCUGGUAGAGCAGCUGAUUCGUAAUCAGCAGAUCACGGGUUCGAGUCCCGUCAGCAGCUCCA